rnacentral:rRNA from 1 species
GACGAACGCUGGCGGCGUGCCUAAUACAUGCAAGUAGAACGCUGAAGGAGGAGCUUGCUUCUCCGGAUGAGUUGCGAACGGGUGAGUAACGCGUAGGUAACCUGCCUGGUAGCGGGGGAUAACUAUUGGAAACGAUAGCUAAUACCGCAUAACAGUAGAUAUUGCAUGAUAUCUGCUUGAAAGGCGCAAUUGCAUCACUACCAGAUGGACCUGCGUUGUAUUAGCUAGUUGGUGAGGUAACGGCUCACCAAGGCGACGAUACAUAGCCGACCUGAGAGGGUGAUCGGCCACACUGGGACUGAGACACGGCCCAGACUCCUACGGGAGGCAGCAGUAGGGAAUCUUCGGCAAUGGACGGAAGUCUGACCGAGCAACGCCGCGUGAGUGAAGAAGGUUUUCGGAUCGUAAAGCUCUGUUGUAAGAGAAGAACGAGUGUGAGAGUGGAAAGUUCACACUGUGACGGUAUCUUACCAGAAAGGGACGGCUAACUACGU